rnacentral:tRNA from 1 species
GGGGUUAGCUCAGUUGGUAGAGUGUCAGUUUCCCAAUCUGGAAGUCGCGGGUUCGAUUCCCGUACCC